GACGAACGCUGGCGGCGUGCUUAACACAUGCAAGUCGAACGGAAAGGCCCUGCUUUUGUGGGGUGCUCGAGUGGCGAACGGGUGAGUAACACGUGAGUAACCUGCCCUUGACUUUGGGAUAACUUCAGGAAACUGGGGCUAAUACCGGAUAGGAGCUCCUGCUGCAUGGUGGGGGUUGGAAAGUUUCGGCGGUUGGGGCUGGACUCGCGGCUUAUCAGCUUGUUGGUGGGGUAGUGGCUUACCAAGGCUUUGACGGGUAGCCGGCCUGGGAGGGUGACCGGCCACAUUGGGACUGAGAUACGGACCAGACUCCUACGGGAGGCAGCAGUGGGGAAUAUUGCACAAUGGGCGGAAGCCUGAUGCAGCAACGCCGCGUGCGGGAUGACGGCCUUCGGGUUGUAAACCGCUUUCGCCUGUGACGAAGCGUGAGUGACGGUAAUGGGUAAAGAAGCACCGGCUAACUACGUG
rnacentral:rRNA from 1 species